rnacentral:tRNA from 2 species
GGGCGAGUAGCUCAAUGGAGCAACCGGCUCAUAACCGGUUGGUUAUAGGUUCGAUUCCUAUUUCGCCCACCA